AUUGAACGCUGGCGGCAGGCCUAACACAUGCAAGUCGAACGGUAACAGGAAGCAGCUUGCUGCUUCGCUGACGAGUGGCGGACGGGUGAGUAAUGUCUGGGAAACUGCCUGAUGGAGGGGGAUAACUACUGGAAACGGUAGCUAAUACCGCAUAACGUCGCAAGACCAAAGAGGGGGACCUUCGGGCCUCUUGCCAUCGGAUGUGCCCAGAUGGGAUUAGCUAGGAGGUGGGGUAACGGCUCACCUAGGCGACGAUCCCUAGCUGGUCUGAGAGGAUGACCAGCCACACUGGAACUGAGACACGGUCCAGACUCCUACGGGAGGCAGCAGUGGGGAAUAUUGCACAAUGGGCGCAAGCCUGAUGCAGCCAUGCCGCGUGGAUGAAGAAGGCCUUCGGGUUGUAAAGUACUUUCAGCGGGGAGGAAGGCGAUAAGGUUAAUAACCUUGUCGAUUGACGUUACCCGCAGAAGAAGCACCGGCUAACGCCGUGCCAGCAGCCGCCGUAA
rnacentral:rRNA from 1 species